rnacentral:rRNA from 1 species
GACGAACGCUGGCGGCGUGCUUAACACAUGCAAGUCGAACGCUGAAGCUCAGCUUUUGUUGGGUGGAUGAGUGGCGAACGGGUGAGUAACACGUGAGUAACCUGCCCCCUUCUUUGGGAUAACGCCCGGAAACGGGUGCUAAUACUGGAUAUUCACUGGUCUUCGCAUGGGGGUUGGUGGAAAGGGUUUUUCUGGUGGGGGAUGGGCUCGCGGCCUAUCAGCUUGUUGGUGGGGUGAUGGCCUACCAAGGCUUUGACGGGUAGCCGGCCUGAGAGGGUGACCGGUAACAUUGGGACUGAGAUACGGCCCAGACGCCUACGGGAGGCAGCAGUGGGGAAUAUUGCACAAUGGGCGCAAGCCUGAUGCAGCGACGCCGCGUGAGGGAUGGAGGCCUUCGGGUUGUGAACCUCUUUCGCUCAUGGUCAAGCCGCAACAAUGGUUGUGGUGAGGGUAGUGGGUAAAGAAGCGCCGGCUAACUACGU